CAACUUCUUACUAUGAGAAAUUAAUAAACGCAACAUUUAAGCCAGUACCUGAUAGAUCAAUUAAUUUUCUGAUGUCGUUCGACUGCUUCUUUUAUUUAACACCAAAAGGGAGAGAAUUUAGAUCAAACAAGGAAACUUUAAGGAAAUUAACAAAAAAGAUAAUUGCUGAAAAAAUUCGACGACGUGAAGACGAAGAAAACACGACCGAAAUUAAUGGAAAUCGAAAAUCUCUGUUGGACUUUCUCUUGGAUGCUAGAGAUAAAAAUCCAGAACUGUCAAUUGAGAGCAUUUGCGAAGAGAUCGAAUUUU